GGCUCGGUGGUGGACGGUCCACACUCACAUCCGUUUACAAAAUUGGGUGAGAUGGAGAAUUAUGCGAGAGACACCCGUUCGACUCGGGUCUGAGCCA